rnacentral:rRNA from 1 species
UACGGGGGGUGCAAGCGUUGUCCGGAAUCAUUGGGCGUAAAGAGUUCGUAGGCGGCACGUAAAGUCUGGUGUUAAAGGCAGAGGCUCAACUUCUGUACGGCACUGGAUACUUGCGAGCUAGAAUGCGGUAGAGGUAAAGGGAAUUCCUGGUGUAGCGGUGAAAUGCUUAGAUAUCAUGAAGAACUCCGAUCGCGAAGGCAAGUGUCCGGGGUGCAACUGACGCUGAGGCUCGAAAGUGCGGGUAUCAAACAGG